rnacentral:misc_RNA from 1 species
AAUGCCAUAAUGUCUGACAGCGAGUUCAAUUAGGCUAAUGAGGUCGCUGAUAGUAAUAUGACUAGUCCAGAACCUUCACUUCAUUCUCAGGGAACUUUUUCUAGAGGCUCUAAAUGCAAAACUUCAAUGAUGGAUAUAUUAGAUAGACAAUAUGAAAGGUUGAACAAUGGAAUUGAACCGGUGUCAGAGGUCUUGGAAAAAGGAAAUGCAAUUGCAGAAAAAUCUCUUGCUAUUCUUGAAAGUGGCAGACCCCAU